AAGUAUGAAGCCAGUUGGUCUUAGUUUUGCAAAAACUAAUGAGGGCUAUGGUAGCCCCAUGCUUU
rnacentral:tRNA from 1 species